AGCUCCAUCUAUCAAUGGCUAAGACCUCCAGUCUUAGUGUAUAGGAGUUAUUGAAAAAUAAGGGAGCAAUACCACCUUCUUGUUCUAUCAAGAGGGCAAUAUUGCUCCUUUAUUUUAUUUUUAUUUGGUACAUUAUCAAAAAAUUAAAUAUCUUAGAAAAAAAAUGGUCGAAACAAUAUUCUAAAUAAAAUAGAAUUUAAAUUUUAAAUAAAAUUUCUUAUUCUUAAUAUUAACCUAAAUAUAUUAAUAUAAAUAGAAGAAAUAAAUUAGAAGAAAUAAAUAUAAAGCGUAUAAAGAGAGCGAGGGAGCGGAUGUUUAGAAGAAAUAAAUAUAAAGAGUCUAAAGAGAGCGAGGGGC
rnacentral:misc_RNA from 1 species